rnacentral:rRNA from 1 species
AUUGAACGCUGGCGGCAGGCCUAACACAUGCAAGUCGAGCGGUGUUUUCGGACCUAGCGGCGGACGGGUGAGUAAUGCGUAGGAAGCUGCCCGAUAGAGGGGGAUACCAGUUGGAAACGACUGUUAAUACCGCAUAAUGUCUACGGACCAAAGUGUGGGACCUUAGGGCCACAUGCUAUCGGAUGCGCCUACGUGGGAUUAGCUAGUUUGUGAGGUAAUGGCUCACCAAGGCGACGAUCUCUAGCUGGUUUGAGAGGAUGAUCAGCCACACUGGAACUGGGACACGGUCCAGACUCUUACGGGAGGCAGCAGUGGGGAAUAUUGGACAAUGGGCGCAAGCCUGAUCCAGCCAUGCCGCGUGUGUGAAGAAGGCCUUAUGGUUGUAAAGCACUUUAAGCGAGGAGGAGGCUUCUUUGGUUAAUACCCAAAGUAAGUGGACGUUACUCGCAGAAUAAGCACCGGCUAACUCUGUGCCAGCCGCCGCAGUAAAAC